GAUCAUUAUUGAAUAMNAUUGNGUACUGAUGCUGGCUCUUCACUGAGCAUGUGCUCGUUCCAUCUAUUUAUCUUCUCUUGUGCACAUCUUGUGGUCUUGAAUUGAAACCUUUCGCAUUCGUGCGGUUUGGGAGCUUGAAUAAACUCUGCUCCUGCUUCUUUCCAAGGCCAUGUUUUCAUAUACACUAUAAAGUUACAGAAUGUCUUUUAACGAUUGCGCAAGCAGUCAUUAAACCUAUACAACUUUCAGCAACGGAUCUCUUGGCUCUCCUAUCGAUGAAGAACGCAGCGAAAUGCGAUAAGUAAUGUGAAUUGCAGAAUUCAGUGAAUCAUCGAAUCUUUGAACGCACCUUGCGCCCUUUGGUAUUCCGAAGGGCAUGCCUGUUUGAGUGUCAUUAAAUUAUCAACCUUGCUCGCUUUUACUAGCUUGAGUUAGGCUUGGAUGUGAGGGCUUUGCUGGCUUCCUUCAGUGGAUGGUCAGCUCCCUUUAAAUGCAUUAGUGGGAUCUCUUGUGGACCGUCACUUGGUGUGAUAAUUAUCUAUACCUCGAGACUUUGAAGCAAACUAAUGGGAACCUGCUUAUAACCGUCUUCGGACAAUCUCUGACAUUUUGACCUCAAAUCAGGUAGG
rnacentral:rRNA from 1 species